AUAUGUACCUUGCAGGGGCAAUACCAUGAUCACAAAAGUGAUUUGUCCUUUGCCCAUGGAGAAGUUUAUUCAUUACAUUAGAUGUGUUGACCCCUGUGAUUACCACAAAUGUGGAAACUUAACUGCAUAAUUUGUAGUAGUGGGGGACUAAGUUCACACUCUGCCCUAA